rnacentral:snRNA from 1 species
AUUGCUUCUCAGCCUUUUGGCUAAGAUCAAGUGUAAGAAUAGACUGGAAAAUUGACAUUUUUGCACAUUCUUAUAGUAGUUUUCUUUCUUGUAAACAAUAAGUAAGGUUGUUUAUUUUGCACUUUCCUUCUCUGUCUCAUUAGU